rnacentral:rRNA from 1 species
UACGGGGGGAGCAAGCGUUGUUCGGAUUUACUGGGCGUAAAGGGCGCGUAGGCGGUCAGCACAAGUCAGUUGUGAAAUCUCCGGGCUUAACUCGGAAAGGUCAACUGAUACUGUGCGACUAGAGUGCGGAAGGGGCAACUGGAAUUCUCGGUGUAGCGGUGAAAUGCGUAGAUAUCGGGAGGAACACCAGAGGCGAAGGCGGGUUACUGGGCUGAUACUGACGCUGAUGCGCGAAAGCUAGGGGAGCAAACGGG